rnacentral:rRNA from 1 species
AGGCAUCACGAGGAUUAACUGUCUCCUUUUCCUAAUCAGUGAACCUAAUCUCCCCGURAAGAAGCGGGGAUUAACGUAUAAGACGAGAAGACCCUGUGGAGCUUAAAACAUUAAACACGUGCCCCCCCCCUCUCACUACCCAGGUAUCUCACCCGUCGCACUCUGAUUGUAUGUUUUCGGUUGGGGUGACCGCGGAGAAAACUCAACCUCCGCAAUGAAAGAGGCCUCCUCUAAGCAGUAAGUUACAACUUUAAGCAUCAAAAAUUGACAUAAUUGACCCAUAAUUUGAUCAAUGAGCCAAGUUACCCCAGGGAUAACAGCACAAUCCACUUCGAGAGCCCCUAUCGACAAGUGGGCUUAUGACCUCGAUGUUGGAUACGGGG